UGUCCUCCAUAGGAGGUCUAUAUUGAGCAGAUUCUUUUUGGUAUUGGGUGGUGGAACCGGAGCGUGCUCCAUCCACUCCAUGCAUUGACCUGGUAUUCCAGUGCUUCCAGGACUGGUGC
rnacentral:snRNA from 1 species